rnacentral:rRNA from 1 species
AGAGUUUGAUCAUGGCUCAGGAUGAACGCUGGCGGCGUGCCUAAUACAUGCAAGUCGAACGGAGAGCAUUGGCUUCGGUUGGUGCUCUUAGUGGCGAACGGGUGAGUAACGCGUUGGUGACCUGCCCCGAAGAGGGGGAUAACAGCUCGAAAGGGCUGCUAAUACCCCAUGAGACCAUAGGAGUUAGAGGAACUAUGAUGAAAGGGAGCAAUCCGCUUUGGGAGGGGCCUGCGUCCCAUCAGCUAGUUGGUAGGGUAAAAGCCUACCAAGGCGAAGACGGGUAGGGGACCUGAGAGGGUGACCCACCACACUGGCACUGAAACACGGGCCAGACACCUACGGGUGGCAGCAGUAGGGAAUAUUGCACAAUGGGCGAAAGCCUGAUGCAGCAACGCCGCGUGCGCGAAGAAGGCCUUCGGGUUGUAAAGCGCUUUUCGGGGAGAUGAGGAAGGACAGUAUCCCCGGAAUAAGGCUCGGCUAACUACGUGCCAGCAGCCGCGGUAAU